rnacentral:misc_RNA from 1 species
AAAGUCGUAACAAGGUCUCCGUUGGUGAACCAGCGGAGGGAUCAUUAAAGAGUUGCAAAACUCCCUAAACCAUUGUGAACGAACCCCUGAACAGUUGCUUCGGCAGGCGCUGGGCGGCCCUCCCGGGGGAGGUCCGGCCUGCCGAAGGCACCCAAACCAUUGUUUUUACAAGCCUCUCUGAGUUUUUUUACUUAAUAAGUCAAAACUUUCAACAACGGAUCUCUUGGUUCUG